rnacentral:rRNA from 1 species
CCUACGGGUGGCAGCAGUGGGGAAUAUUGCACAAUGGGGGAAACCCUGAUGCAGCGACGCCGCGUGAGUGAAGAAGUAUCUCGGUAUGUAAAGCUCUAUCAGCAGGGAAGAAAAUGACGGUACCUGACUAAGAAGCCCCGGCUAACUACGUGCCAGCAGCCGCGGUAAUACGUAGGGGGCAAGCGUUAUCCGGAUUUACUGGGUGUAAAGGGAGCGUAGACGGCGCUGCAAGUCCGGAGUGAAAGCCCAUGGCUUAACCAUGGUACUGCUCUGGAAACUGUGGAGCUUGAGUGCGGGAGGGGCAGGCGGAAUUCCUAGUGUAGCGGUGAAAUGCUUAGAUAUCACGAAGAACUCCGAUUGCGAAGGCAGCUUACUAAACUGCCACUGACAUUGAUGCUCGAAAGUGUGGGUAUCAAACAGGAUUAGAUACCCUGGUAGUC